rnacentral:rRNA from 1 species
GAUGAACGCUAGCUACAGGCUUAACACAUGCAAGUCGAGGGGAAACGACAUCGAAAGCUUGCUUUUGGUGGGCGUCGACCGGCGCACGGGUGAGUAACGCGUAUCCAACCUGCCCACCACUUGGGGAUAACCUUGCGAAAGUAAGACUAAUACCCAAUGAUAUCCCACGAAGGCAUCCGAAUGGGAUUAAAGAUUUAUCGGUGAUGGAUGGGGAUGCGUCUGAUUAGCUUGUUGGCGGGGUAACGGCCCACCAAGGCAACGAUCAGUAGGGGUUCUGAGGGGAAGGUCCCCCACAUUGGAACUGAGACACGGUCCAAACUCCUACGGGAGGCAGCAGUGAGGGAUAUUGGUCAAUGGGCGAGAGCCUGAACCAGCCAAGUAGCGUGCAGGAAGACGGCCCUAUGGGUUGUAAACUGCUUUAUAAGGGAAUAAAGUGAGCCUCGUGAGGCUUUUUGCAUGUACCUUAUGAAUAAGGACCGGCUAAUUCCGUG